AAUAGAUACCCAGGUAGUCCACGCCCUAAACGAUGUCUACUAGUUGUCGGGGGGUAACUCCUUCGGUAACGCAGCUAACGCGUGAAGUAGACCGCCUGGGGAGUACGGUCGCAAGAUUAAAACUCAAAGGAAUUGACGGGGACCCGCACAAGCGGUGGAUGAUGUGGAUUAAUUCGAUGCAACGCGAAAAACCUUACCUACCCUUGACAUGCCACUAACGAAGCAGAGAUGCAUUAGGUGCCCGAAAGGGAAAGUGGACACAGGUGCUGCAUGGCUGUCGUCAGCUCGUGUCGUGAGAUGUUGGGUUAAGUCCCGCAACGAGCGCAACCCUUGCCAAUAGUUGCUACGAAAGGGCACUCUAUUGGGACUGCCGGUGACAAACCGGAGGAAGGUGGGGAUGACGUCAAGUCCUCAUGGCCCUUAUGGGUAGGGCUUCACACGUCAUACAAUGGCUGGUACAGAGGGUUGCCAACCCGGCGAGGGGGAGCCAAUCCCACAAAACCAGUCGUAGUCCGGAUUGCAGUCUGCAACUCGA
rnacentral:rRNA from 1 species